AGGCAAUUUCUAAAACAAUGACCAUUAACCUGCAAAAGAAAAGAGUGAACGAGAGAGAAUGAAAACUAGAAAAGUUUGAUCUUCUCCUUUAGAGGCAGAUCCACUAUGGAUCUAUUAUGAUUUCCCCCUUCUUUAAAACACCUUGCCCUCAAGGUGAGGGUAAGCCCUCUUAAGCCUCGAUUCCUCCACCCACAUUGCAUCCUCUUGUCCUUGACCUUCCCACCUAACCAAAAUUUCUUUCUUAGUCUUUCGUUUAGAUCUCCACUCCCUGCUUCCUAAGACUUCGAUAGGUUUUGGGUUGAGUUUUCCUUCCAAGCCAAAAGGAGGCAACUUGGGUUCCAGAUGUUCCUUCGAACCAAUCAUCUUCUUCAACAAUGAUAUGUGGAAAGUGGGAUGGAUUCAUGUCUCUUCAAGCAACUCCAACCGCUUGAGAUAGACAGUCUCUCUCUUGUCAAGUCUUGGCUCAAUAUCAACAGGAGGAUGUCAACCCUCACCAGUGCUAUUAGAGGACUAUCAUCGAGAAAGAAAGGCCUUGUCUUUAAGAUGAGGAGGGUUUCCUUCGAGAUUGUGGUUUAUCUUGUUUGGCAGGAAAGAAAUAAGAGAAUCUUUGAAACAUCUCACAACUCAGUGGACUUCAUUUUUCGAUGAUUUCAAAUACUUUUCUACACUAUAUUUUAUUUUCAUGAAAGAGACCCUUCUUUUAUUGUUGUUGGUUAAUGUCCUUUCCAUUAGGGACUGUAUUUUCUGAUGGGUUAUUUCAUGGCUUUAAUUACUACUGUCUGUUUUGGUU